CGUAGGGUCCAAGCGUUAAUCGGAAUUACUGGGCGUAAAGCGUGCGCAGGCGGCUUUGCAAGUCAGACGUGAAAUCCCCGGGCUUAACCUGGGAAUGGCGUUUGAAACUACGGAGCUGGAGUGUGGCAGAGGGAGGUAGAAUUCCACGUGUAGCGGUGAAAUGCGUAGAUAUGUGGAGGAAUACCGAUGGCGAAGGCAGCCUCCUGGGCCAACACUGACGCUCAUGCACGAAAGCGUGGGGAGCAAACAGGAUUAGAUACCCUGGUAGUCCACGCCCUAAACUAUGUCAACUAGUUGUUGGGGGAGUUAAAUCCCUUAGUAACGCAGCUAACGCGUGAAGUUGACCGCCUGGGGAGUACGGUCGCAAGAUUA
rnacentral:rRNA from 1 species